UAAGUACUCCCUCCGUCCGAAAAUACUUGUCAUCAAAAUGGAUAAAAAAAGAUGUAUCUAGAACUAAAAUACAUCUAGAUACAUCCCCUUUUAUCCAUUUUGAUGACAGGUAUUUCCGGAUGGAGGGAGUAUUUG
rnacentral:pre_miRNA from 1 species